rnacentral:rRNA from 1 species
UCAGGAUGAACGCUAGCGGCAGGCUAACACAUGCAAGUCGAGGGGCAGCGGGAUGUAGCAAUACAUUGCCGGCGACCGGCGGAUGGGUGCGUAACGCGUAUGCAACCUACCUUAGUACAGGGGAAUAACCUUUCGAAAGGGAGACUAACACCCCAUAGUAUUGAUUUAAGGCAUCUUAGAUUAAUUAAAUAUUUAUAGGUAUAAGAUGGGCAUGCGUAUGAUUAGCUAGUUGGUAAGGUAACGGCUUACCAAGGCGACGAUCAUUAGGGGUUCUGAGAGGAAGGUCCCCCACACUGGUACUGAGACACGGACCAGACUCCUACGGGAGGCAGCAGUGAGGAAUAUUGGUCAAUGGGCGCAAGCCUGAACCAGCCAUGCCGCGUGCAAGGAAGACGGCCUUAUGGGUUGUAAACUGCUUUUACAUAAGACUAACCGUAUAUUUGCGAAUAUACCUGAAUGUAUUAUGAGAAUAAGGAUCGGCUAACUCCGUGCCAGCCGCAGC